GCGGAUGUGGUGAAAUUGGCAGACACGCAAGAUUUAGGUUCUUGUGGGAAACCGUGGGGGUUCGAGUCCCUUCAUCCGCA
rnacentral:tRNA from 1 species